AGUCUAGCAAUGAGCAAGAGAGUAGUUUGACAUUCCCAUCUCCAGAAAGAAAACGGGGUUGCGAGUUUUCGAUGGCCGUCAAAUGAAGGUAGCUUGCGAGCUGUUUACCUGAACUCAUAGUAGGGUGAGCCGGACGGGAUACACCGUUCGUUAACAAACUUGUUGAAGUGCAAAGUCGGGGUUUCCCGGACUUUGAAAUUAGGUGGUACCGCGAGUCCAUUCGUCCUAAGU
rnacentral:ncRNA from 1 species